UGCGUAGGUGGUUCUCUAAGUUUGGUGUGAAAUCUCCCGGCUCAACUGGGAGGGUGCGCCGAAAACUGGAGGACUAGAGUGUGGGAGAGGAAAGCGGAAUUCCUGGUGUAGCGGUGAAAUGCGUAGAUAUCAGGAGGAACACCUGCGGUGUAGACGGCUUUCUGGACCACUACUGACACUGAGGCACGAAAGCGUGGGGAGCAAACAGGAUUAGAUACCCUGGUAGUCCACGCCCUAAACGAUGCACACUUGGUGUGAGCCAUUCAUUUGGUUCGUGCCGGAGCUAACGCGUUAAGUGUGCCGCCUGGGGAGUACGGUCGCAAGGCUGAA
rnacentral:rRNA from 1 species